rnacentral:rRNA from 1 species
CCUACGGGAGACAGCAGUGGGGAAUAUUGCGCAAUGGGGGAAACCCUGAUGCAGCGACGCCGCGUGAGUGAAGAAGGAUCUCGGUACGUAAAGCUCUAUUAGCAGGGAAGAUAAUGACGGUACCUGACUAUGAAGCCCCGGCUAACUACGUGCCAGCAGCCGCGGUAAUACGUAGGGGGAAAGCGUUAUCCGGUUUUACUGGGUGUAAAGGGAGCGUAGACGGCAGUACAAGUCUGGAGUGAAAUCCCUGGGCUUAACCCCGGAAAUGCAUUGGAAACUGUACAGCUGGAGUGCAGGAGAGGUAAGCGGAAUUCCGAGUGUAGCGGUGAAAUGCGUAGAGAUAAGGAGGAACACCAGUGGCGAAGGCGGCUUACUGGACUGUAACUGACGUUGAGGCGCGAAAGCGUGGGGAGCAAACAGGAUUAGAUACCCCUGUAGUC